rnacentral:rRNA from 1 species
UUAAAUUGAAGAGUUUGAUCAUGGCUCAGAUUGAACGCUGGCGGCAGGCUUAACACAUGCAAGUCGAACGGUAACAUGAGUGCUUGCACUUGAUGACGAGUGGCGGACGGGUGAGUAAGGUAUGGGGAUCUGCCGAAUGGAGGGGGACAACAGUUGGAAACGACUGCUAAUACCGCAUAAAGUUGAGAAACCAAAGCAUGGGACCUACGGGCCAUGCGCCAUUUGAUGAACCCAUAUGGGAUUAGCUAGUUGGUGAGGUAAUGGCUCACCAAGGCGACGAUCUCUAGCUGGUCUGAGAGGAUGACCAGCCACACUGGAACUGAGACACGGUCCAGACUCCUACGGGAGGCAGCAGUGGGGAAUAUUGCACAAUGGGGGGAACCCUGAUGCAGCCAUGCCGCGUGUAUGAAGAAGGCCUUCGGGUUGUAAAGUACUUUCGGUGAUGAGGAAGGUAAUGAAUCUAAUAGGUUUAUUAAUUGACGUUAAUCACAGAAGAAGCACCGGCUAACUCCGUGCCAGCAGCCGCGGUAAUACGGAGGGUGCGAGCGUUAAUCGGAAUGACUGGGCGUAAAGGGCAUGU